ACCGCAGUCGCCGCUCUUUCAAUUUAUACCCUCCCAAGUCCCAACAAUUGACUGCACAAGUGCGCAUGGUACCCAAGUUACGGAGGAAAUUCAAUGUUCUUCCAUUUAAACAAGGAUUAAUUCUUUGGACCUUCGGUGGAUUGGGUGGUGCAGGAAGAAGACAUUGUCACUCCAUGUCUUCUUUUACGGGAGGAACCCCAAAUUUUAAUCGCAAGUUGAUUCGUUUGUGGAGAUUGGUAUGGAAAUAGAGCUGGAUUAGGUCGAGCUUGGUGCUACGCUCAGGUAUUUGGAGCAGCACAUUCGGUCCAGAGUGAUUCAAAAUAUUAUUGGCGUUCCUAUGAAUAGUUUUGUGCUAAUUACAGAGUAAUAAAGGAUAUGAUUCGCUCAUUGCUAUGUUUUUUUUGCUAAUUACAGAGUAAUAAAGUUGGAUCUUGCGCAUGACAAAGAGGCACAACAUCGCUUCCCUUCAACAAAUAUAAGCUGGUUAGUUGAUAAUGUUUUUUUGUUGGGAUUGUCUUGUGUGAAGCAUGUUUUCAAAUAUCAGUGGCUAUGUACAUACCUUGAAUUUCAAAUGCUCAUAAUAGUUUCUUUUAUAUUGUCCGUUUGUCC